rnacentral:rRNA from 1 species
CAGCAGCCGCGGUAAUACGUAGGGUGCAAGCGUUAAUCGGAAUUACUGGGCGUAAAGCGUGCGCAGGCGGUUUUGUAAGACAGAGGUGAAAUCCCCGGGCUCAACCUGGGAACUGCCUUUGUGACUGCAAGGCUAGAGUACGGCAGAGGGGGAUGGAAUUCCGCGUGUAGCAGUGAAAUGCGUAGAUAUGCGGAGGAACACCGAUGGCGAAGGCAAUCCCCUGGGCCUGUACUGACGCUCAUGCACGAAAGCGUGGGUAGCGAACAGGAUUAGAUACCCGUGUAGUCCCUGUCUCUUAUAC